GACGUAGGAUGCAAGCGUUGUCCGGAAUUAUUGGGCGUAAAGAGUUCGUAGGUGGUUUACCAAGUCUGACGUUAAAGCCCGAAGCUCAACUUCGGUAUGGCAUCGGAAACUGGUAGGCUAGAGUCCGGAAGAGGAGAGUGGAAUUCCUGGUGUAGCGGUGAAAUGCGCAGAUAUCAGGAAGAACACCCGUGGCGAAGGCGGCUCUCUGGUACGUGACUGACGCUGAGACGCGAAAGCGUGGGGAGCGAACAGG
rnacentral:rRNA from 1 species